rnacentral:rRNA from 1 species
GUGUCAGCCGCCGCGGUAAGACGAACCGAGCGAACGUUGUUCGGAAUCACUGGGCUUAAAGGGCGCGUAGGCGGCUUACCAAGUCAGGGGUGAAAUUUUGCGGCUUAACCGUAACAGUGCCUUUGAUACUGGUAGGCUCGAGGGGGACAGGGGUCCGCGGAACUUCUGGUGGAGCGGUGAAAUGCGUUGAUAUCAGAAGGAACGCCGGUGGCGAAAGCGGCGGACUGGAUCCUUUCUGACGCUGAGGCGCGAAAGCUAGGGGAGCAAACGGGAUUAGAAACCCGUGUAGUCC